rnacentral:rRNA from 1 species
GCAGUCGAACGAAGUAGCAAUACUUAGUGGCAGACGGGUGAGUAACAUGUAGGCAUUUGCCCUUUGGCCUGGAAUAACACGAGGAAACUUGUGCUAAUACCGGAUAAGUCUUUACAGAGAAAGCUUUAUGCACCAUUGGAUGAGCCUGCACUUGAUUAGUUUGUUGGUGGGGUAAUGGCCUACCAAGACUGUGAUCAAUAGCUGAUUUGAGAGGAUGAUCAGCCACAUUGGGACUGAGACACGGCCCAAACUCCUACGGGAGGCAGCAGUGGGGAAUCUUGCACAAUGGAGGAAACUCUGAUGCAGCGAUGCCGCGUGAGUGAAGAAGGCCUUUGGGUUGUAAAGCUCUUUCGUCGGGGAAGAAAAUGACUGUACCCGAAUAAGAAGGUCCGGCUAACUUCGUGCCAGCAGCCGCGGUAAUACGAAGGGACCUAGCGUAGUUCGGAAUUACUGGGCUUAAAGAGUUCGUAGGUGGUUGAAAAAGUUGGUGGUGAAAUCCCAGAGCUUAACUCUGGAACUGCCAUCAAAACUUUUCAGCUAGAGUAUGAUAGAGGAAAGCAGAAUUUCUAGUGUAGAGGUGAAAUUCGUAGAUAUUAGAAAGAAUACCAAUUGCGAAGGCAGCUUUCUGGAUCAUUACUGACACUGAGGAACGAAAGCAUGGGUAGCGAAGAGGAUUAGAUACCCUCGUAGUCCAUGCCGUANACGAUGUGUGUUAGACGUUGGAAAUUUAUUUUCAGUGUCGCAGCGAAAGCGAUAAACACACCGCCUGGGGAGUACGACCGCAAGGUUAAAACUCAAAUGAAUUGACGGGGACCCGCACAAGUAGUGGAGCAUGUGGUUUAAUUCGAAGAUACGCGCAGAACCUUACCACACUUGACAUGUUCGUCGCGACUU